rnacentral:tRNA from 1 species
AAAUCCGUCKACUUUAGAAAUCGUGAG